GCCUUGAUGGUGAAACGGUAAACACGCGAGAUUCAAAAUCUUGUGCUAUACAGCUUAGAGGUUCGAAUCCUCUUCGAGGCAG
rnacentral:tRNA from 1 species